rnacentral:rRNA from 1 species
GAUGAACGCUGGCGGCGUGCUUAACACAUGCAAGUCGAACGGAAAGGCCCAAGCUUGCUUGGGUACUCGAGUGGCGAACGGGUGAGUAACACGUGGGUGAUCUGCCCUGCACUUCGGGAUAAGCCUGGGAAACUGGGUCUAAUACCGGAUAGGACCACAUUUUGGAUGGUGUGGUGGAAAGUUUUUCGGUGUGGGAUGAGCUCGCGGCCUAUCAGCUUGUUGGUGGGGUAAUGGCCUACCAAGGCGUCGACGGGUAGCCGGCCUGAAAGGGUGUACGGCCACAUUGGGACUGAGAUACGGCCCAGACUCCUACGGGAGGCAGCAGUGGGGAAUAUUGCACAAUGGGCGCAAGCCUGAUGCAGCGACGCCGCGUGGGGGAUGGCGGCCUUCGGGUUGUAAACUCCUUUCGCUAGGGACGAAGCGUUUUUGUGACGGUACCUGGAGAAGAAGCACCGGCUAACUACGUG